rnacentral:rRNA from 1 species
GACGAACGCUGGCGGCGUGCUUAACACAUGCAAGUCGAACGAAGUGGCGAACGGUUGAGUACUACGUGGGAAACCUGCUCUCCUGUUUGGGACAAGCCUUGGUAACGGGGUCUAAUAACUAAUACAGCGGGUGGGGCCGGCGGCCCAUCGGCUUGUUGGUGGGGUGAUGGCCUACCAAGGCGGUGAGGGGUAGCCGGCCUGAGAGGGUGACCGGCCCCGUUGCGACUGAGAUACGGCCCAGAAUCCUACGGGAGGCAGCAGUGUGGGAUAUUGCACAAUGAGAGAAAGACUGAUGCAGCGACGCCGCGUGGGGGAUGAAGGCUUGAGGGUUGUACACCUCUUUCGCUAUCGAACGGGUGGGUGGAGAGAGAACGCCGGCUAACUACGUGCCAGCAGCGGCGGUAAUUC